GACGAACGCUGGCGGCGUGCUUAACACAUGCAAGUCGAACGGAAAGGCCCUGCUUGCAGGGUACUCGAGUGGCGAACGGGGGAGUAACACGUGGGUGAUCUGCCCUGCACUUCGGGAUAAGCCUGGGAAACUGGGGCUAAUACCGGAUAGGAGCCAUUUUUAGUGUGAUGGUUGGAAAGUUUUUUCGGUGUAGGAUGAGCUCGCGGCCUAUCAGCUUGGUGGUGGGGUAAUGGCCUACCAAGGCGGCGACGGGUAGCCGGCCUGAGAGGGUGGACGGCCACAUUGGGACUGAGAUACGGCCCAGACUCCUACGGGAGGCAGCAGUGGGGAAUAUUGCACAAUGGGCGCAAGCCUGAUGCAGAGACGCCGCGUGGGGGAUGACGGCCUUCGGGUUGUAAACGCCUUUCGCUAGGGACGAAGCUUUUUGUGACGGUACCUAGAUAAGAAGCACCGGCUAACUACGUG
rnacentral:rRNA from 1 species